UACGAGGGGGGCGAGCGUUGUUCGGAAUUAUUGGGCGUAAAGCGCACGUAGGCGGCUUUGUAAGUUAGAGGUGAAAGCCUGGAGCUCAACUCCAGAAUUGCCUUUAAGACUGCAUCGCUCGAAUCCGGGAGAGGUGAGUGGAAUUCCGAGUGUAGAGGUGAAAUUCGUAGAUAUUCGGAAGAACACCAGUGGCGAAGGCGGCUCACUGGACCGGUAUUGACGCUGAGGUGCGAAAGCGUGGGGAGCAAACAGU
rnacentral:rRNA from 1 species